rnacentral:rRNA from 1 species
ACGGGGCCCGCACAAGCGGUGGAGCAUGUGGUUAAUUCGACGAUACGCGAAGAACUUACCCGGGUUUGACAUUGUAUCGAAGCAUCCAGAGAUGGAUGUGUCUCUUCGGAGACGGUAUGACAGGUGCUGCAUGGCCGUCGUCAGCUCGUGCCGUGAGGUGUUGGGUUAAGUCCCAUAACGAGCGCAACCCCUACCUUUAGUUGCCAUCAGGUUAAGCUGGGGACUCUAAAGGAACUGCCUACGCAAGUAGUGAGGAAGGCGGGGAUGACGUCAAAUCAGCACGGCCCUUACGUCCAGGGCUACACACGUGCUACAAUGGCCGAUACAGAGGGCAGCUACCUGGUGACAGGAUGCAAAUCUCCAAAGUCGGUCUCAGUUCGGAUCGGAGUCUGCAACCCGACUCCGUGAAGUCGGAAUCGCUAGUAAUCGUGAAUCAGAAUGUCACGGUGAAUACGUUCCCGGGCCUU